AGUCGACGAUGACCCCCAGCUUGCUGGGGUGAUUAGUGGCGAACGGGUGAGUAACACGUGAGUAACCUGCCCUCCACUCUGGGAUAAGCACUGGAAACGGUGUCUAAUACCGGAUACGAGCUUCCGCCGCAUGGUGAGGAGCUGGGAAGAAUUUUGGUGGGGGAUGGACUCGCGGCCUAUCAGGUAGUUGGUGAGGUAAUGGCUCACCAAGCCGACGACGGGUAGCCGGCCUGAGAGGGUGACCGGCCACACUGGGACUGAGACACGGCCCAGACUCCUACGGGAGGCAGCAGUGGGGAAUAUUGCACAAUGGGCGAAAGCCUGAUGCAGCAACGCCGCGUGAGGGACGACGGCCUUCGGGUUGUAAACCUCUUUUAGUAGGGAAGAAGCGAAAGUGACGGUACCUGCAGAAAAAGCACCGGCUAACUACGUGCCAGCAGCCGCGGUAAUACGUAGGGUGCAAGCGUUGUCCGGAAUUAUUGGGCGUAAAGAGCUCGUAGGCGGUUUGUCGCGUCUGCUGUGAAAUCCGGAGGCUCAACCUCCGGCCUGCAGUGGGUACGGGCAGACUAGAGUGCGGUAGGGGAGGUUGGAAUUCCUGGUGUAGCGGUGGAAUGCGCAGAUAUCAGGAGGAACACCAAUGGCGAAGGCAGAUCUCUGGGCCGUAACUGACGCUGAGGAGCGAAAGCAUGGGGAGCGAACAGGAUUAGAU
rnacentral:rRNA from 1 species